AUGAAGCGAGCAAAGGAUUAUGUCUGGAUGGCUAAAACAUGGACUAGAUCAAUUUAUUCAGAUGUUUGGUGUGAUGGCUUGACGAUUGAUACGUCUGAGAUAUCUUUCACCGACUCAAGUUUGCCGAAUUUGUUGCCUGGGAUGUUUGAUGAGGAUAACAAUUUGACUUGGAAGAAAUUGACUAGUGCUGGUCCUACAUUAAGCUUGCUUGAUGACAAUGUUAUUUACAUUAUGGCGAAGGAGAGCAUGUGCCAUCCGACAGCAUAUGUACUUACUGUGGACACCAAAAGUUUGAAGCUCGAGUCUGGUGCGCAGUGUGCUCCUCAAAAGACGGCGUGGUUCGAACCAACAUAUGAACCGUGUGUUCUUUUUAGCUCUUUUGGCACGACUUCAGAGUUGGUUAAAGAAUUUGAAACCAAAGGGACAAUAUCUGAAAUCAAGGAAGGGCCGGUGCUCUCGGUGGUGUCGAAGCGUCUCCGUGUGCUGCGGAAGAAGCAGAAUCGCAUCGCGCAGAUGGAGGAGUCCGUCGCUGCCGGCAAGAUGCUUAACCAGGAGCAGAAGGAGCUCAUGCACUCCAAGCCCGUCAUCGCCGCGCUCAUUGACGAGCUUGAGCGCCUCCGCGUACCACUCUCCACCUCUCUCACCAAGGAGCUCUCCACCGUCCCUGCACCUGCUGCCGGUUCCUCAUCCUUUGGCUCCGAUUUGUCCGUUCAGGACCUCCUCGCGCUCAUCUACUUCGGCUCCCUUUUUUAUGUCAAGUCACCGAACGAGUUCAUCGCCACCAUGGUUGCGCGCAAGCACGAACGGAGCAGCUGCAUCACCCACGGCUACGUAUGGGAUGAUACCGCGGACCUGCUUGUGGAGAACGACCUUGACGCAGUGUCUGCUGUGGCAGCCCUUGCCGCGGCUCGCCCUGCUUCCGCAGUUGGUGUCUCCCACCACGAUGCACUCCAGGCCUGUGCCCAUCAUGCCCGCCUAUGGCUAACCCGUGCUGAUGCGCCGAUCCACCCUGGCUCCUCUGUUACAUAUGCUGCGGUGAGGUCCAAGUUAGACAGGAUCAUGGCAUCAGACUACUACACAGCACCUGCAGUUGCUGGGAACCAUGGAGCUGAAGGUCUGCACUCUGCAGGCACAGAUGAGCAUGACCGACUCACCAGAGGCACCAUCACUCAAGGAGAUCCUAGCUGCUGA
rnacentral:rRNA from 1 species